UUGGAGGGCAAGUCUGGUGCCAGCAGCCGCGGUAAUUCCAGCUCCAAUAGCGUAUAUUAAAGUUGUUGCAGUUAAAAAGCUCGUAGUUGAAUUUCGGGGUCAGUAGGCUGGUCGUGCCACAGGUAUGUACUGGUCUUACUGAUUCCUCCUUCCUGAUGAACCGUAAUGCCAUUAAUUUGGUGUUGCGGGGAAUCUGGACUGUUACUUUGAAAAAAUUAGAGUGUUUAAAGCAGGCUAACGCUUGAAUACAUUAGCAUAGAAUAAUGAAAUAGGACGUUCGAUCUUAUUUUGUUGGUUUCUAAGAUUGACGUAAUGAUUAAUAGGGAUAGUUGGGGGCAUUAGUAUUCAAUUGUCAGAGGUGAAAUUCUUGGAUUUAUUGAAGACUAACUACUGCGAAAGCAUUUGCCAAGGAUGUUUUCAUUAAUCAAGAACGAAAGUUAGGGGAUCGAAGACGAUCAGAUACCGUCGUAGUCUUAACCAUAAACUAUGCCGACUAGGGAUCGGAUGAUGUUAAUUUUUUAAUGACUCUUCGGCGCCUUACGGGAAA
rnacentral:rRNA from 1 species